rnacentral:ncRNA from 1 species
AAAGGUGCUGCGCCGAGGCGCGGCUUAAAAGGGAAUCGGGUGCAAAUCCCGAACAGUCCCGCUGCUGUGAGUUUCAGCAAAAUUUCUCAUCAAGGCCGAGCAGAAGAGUCUGCCGCAGAGCCAAGUCACUGGGAUUAGCCUCCCGGGAAGGCGAUGAGAAAGAAACGAGUCAGAAGACCUGCCUUUGGACAUA